rnacentral:piRNA from 2 species
UCUUAAGGUUGCCGAGUGACUUCAUU